rnacentral:lncRNA from 1 species
UUUAUGAUUGGUUUGUUAUGUUCAGUUUUGUAAAGUUGAAUUUGCUAAACGCUUUGGAAAUUAUUUGAGUUUGCUUUGCAGGUAGAUUUCUGGGUUUGAGCCUUUUUCAGGGGAGACUCUACCAGUUUUCCGGUAGAAGUCAAACCCUAAAGCAGUUUUUGGAUUAGGGCAAAAAGGAUACUUUUAGUCAUUUGUGCUCGACCCCUACCAGGUGUUGGACACGCACGGGUUUUGACAUGGAUUCCAAAGUAGAAUUUGGGUUGAGUCCUUUCAAUUACUGUACACUAGAGGUACUAAGUUCG